UACGUAGGGUGCAAGCGUUAAUCGGAAUUACUGGGCGUAAAGGGUGCGUAGGCGGCGGUGUAAGUUGGAAGUGAAAUCCCAAUCGGCUCAACCGUGGAAUUGCUCCCAGUACUGCAUCGCUCGAGGGGGAUAGGGGUUUGCGGAACUACCGGUGGAGCGGUGAAAUGUGUUGAUAUCGGUGGGAACGCCAGUGGCGAAAGCGGCAAACUUGACCCUUCCUGACGCUGAGGCGCGAAAGCUAGGGGAGCAAACGGG
rnacentral:rRNA from 1 species